CCCUUAGAUGUUCUGGGCCGCACGCGCGCUACACUGACGGAGGCAGCGAGCAUGUCCUUCGCCGAGAGGUGUGGGGAAUCUUGUGAGUCUCCGUCGUGCUGGGGAUAGAUGGUUGCAAUUGUCGAUCUUGAACGAGGAAUUCCUAGUAAGCGCGAGUCAUCAGCUCGCGCUGAUUACGUCCCUGCCCUUUGUACACACCGCCCGUCGCUACUACCGAUUGGAUGGCUUAGCGAGAAUUUUGGAUCGGAGCCCGGGUGGUCGACAACGGUCGCCCGGGAGAUCUGAGAAAUCAUUCCAGCUUGGUCAUCUAGAGGAAGUAAAAGUCGUAACA
rnacentral:rRNA from 1 species